rnacentral:rRNA from 1 species
UACGGGGGGGGCAAGCGUUGUUCGGAAUUACUGGGCGUAAAGGGCUCGUAGGCGGCCAACUAAGUCAGACGUGAAAUCCCCAGGCUUAACUUGGGAACUGCGUCUGAUACUGGAUGGCUUGAGUUUGGGAGAGGGAUGCGGAAUUCCAGGUGUAGCGGUGAAAUGCGCAGAUAUCAGGAGGAACACCGGUGGCGAAGGCGGCUUGCUGGGCCUUACCUGACGCUGAGGAGCGAAAGCGUGGGGAGCGAACAGG